UACGUAGGGUGCAAGCGUUAAUCGGAAUUACUGGGCGUAAAGCGUGCGCAGGCGGUUAUGUAAGACAGGUGUGAAAUCCCCGGGCUUAACCUGGGAACUGCAUUUGUGACUGCAUAGCUAGAGUACGGUAGAGGGGGAUGGAAUUCCGCGUGUAGCAGUGAAAUGCGUAGAUAUGCGGAGGAACACCGAUGGCGAAGGCGGCUACCUGGACAGAAACUGACGCUGAGGCGCGAAAGCUAGGGGAGCAAACAGG
rnacentral:rRNA from 1 species